rnacentral:pre_miRNA from 1 species
AGAGGAAUAGCUGGGUCAAAUGGUGAUUCCAUUCCCAGCUUUCCAAGGAAUCUCCAUACUGCUUUCCAAAUUGGCUGCACCAAUUUGCAGUCCCACCAGCAAU